AUUUAUCAGUGAUGAAAUUGGACACACUCGAUUUUCCUCCCACUGGUAAUAUUUGCAGUCAGCAUGAAUAGACUUUCUCAGUACAGUUUUCAACUCCUGGCACAACAGUAUCCUUUUUCCAAACUAUAGCAUAAAUCACAGAAAAGUAUCUCCUCAUUUGUUUGGGAUGAGUUUUAAUUCAGAAACAAUUUAUAGUAAUAUUCUAAGAGACUGACUGAAUUUGCUUUCCCAACUGAAAAAGGAAUCAACUAUUUGUUAUUAUUUAAUGAAGCUUUGAAGCAUGAGGAAGUCAAUUAUUCUUCAGUGCAGGUGAUGUACAAAGGGGACUCCUGCAUUUUCCCUGUUCCCUGAAGAGAUUAAGAACUUCUGAGUGGAGACAAACGGGAAAAAAUAUUGUUUGUGGAACCUUGCCUAGGCUUGAUGAGAAGGAGGAAAGAGCUCUUACAGCUAAAACUAAUCAGUAACUGUGGUUUCUCCAAACAUGGAAGAAUUUUCCAUCAACAGUCACAAUGGGGAGUGUCUAGUUGGACCAUCAUGGAAGAUGGAUG
rnacentral:lncRNA from 1 species